rnacentral:misc_RNA from 1 species
AAGUCGUAACAAGGUAACCGUAGGUGAACCUGCGGUUGGAUCAUUAAUAAAUUCUGAAAGGCCUCAAGGCCUCUCUAACAUCUUGUGUAUAGUAACUAGUCUCUUGCGGGUGCAAGCCCGCUAAAGUAUACUCUGUAAUAAUAUUUGUCUUUAAACUUUAAUGAAUAAUUAAAAACAACUUUUGACAACGGAUCUCUAGGCUCUCA